UACGGGGGGAGCAAGCGUUGUUCGGAUUUACUGGGCGUAAAGGGCGCGUAGGCGGUCACGACAAGUCAGUUGUGAAAUCUCCGGGCUUAACUCGGAACGGUCAACUGAUACUGUCGGACUAGAGUGCAGAAGGGGCAACUGGAAUUCUCGGUGUAGCGGUGAAAUGCGUAGAUAUGCGGAGGAACACCGAUGGCGAAGGCAAUCCCCUGGGCCUGCACUGACGCUCAUGCACGAAAGCGUGGGGAGCAAACAGG
rnacentral:rRNA from 1 species